UGGGGAAUAUUGGACAAUGGGCGAAAGCCUGAUCCAGCCAUGCCGCGUGUGUGAAGAAGGUCUUCGGAUUGUAAAGCACUUUAAGUUGGGAGGAAGGGCAGUAAAUUAAUACUUUGCUGUUUUGACGUUACCGACAGAAUAAGCACCGGCUAACUCUGUGCCAGCAGCCGCGGUAAUACAGAGGGUGCAAGCGUUAAUCGGAAUUACUGGGCGUAAAGCGCGCGUAGGUGGUUCGUUAAGUUGGAUGUGAAAUCCCCGGGCUCAACCUGGGAACUGCAUUCAAAACUGACGAGCUAGAGUAUGGUAGAGGGUGGUGGAAUUUCCUGUGUAGCGGUGAAAUGCGUAGAUAUAGGAAGGAACACCAGUGGCGAAGGCGACCACCUGGACUGAUACUGACACUGAGGUGCGAAAGCGUGGGGAGCAAACAGGAUUAGAUACCCACGUAGUCCCUGAGCGGGCUGGCAAGGCGCAU
rnacentral:rRNA from 1 species